GCAGAAUUCUUUUUGCUGCUCCAAGAUGAUGCUUUGAAGGAUUAUGCAUGAACCUGGAAAUUACACCAACUGAAAAUGCAAUGUCUGGCCGUGAGUGUGUUAAGUAAAUCAAGCCACCAACCAAGCUUCUAAAGUGACUUGCAUUGGCUUGUUCAUUCCCAUCAUCAACCUGUAACUUAUCAUUUAAGUUCAUAGGAGUGGCUGCAACUUUGCAGUUUAACAUGCUGAAUCUUUUAAGUAAAUCAGUUGCAUAUUUCCUUUGUGACACAAAAAUACCAUCUUCAACUUGCUUAACCUCUAACCCAAGAAAAUAAUGCAACACACCCAAAUCUGACAUCUCAAACUUCUUUUUCAUGCAGACUUUGAAUUCAUCAAUAAGAGAAGGAGAAGAGCCCAUAUAAAUCAUAUCAUCAACAUAAAGGCAAAUAAUUAGAAGAUCAUUUUUACCUUGCCUUUUUGUAUAGAGAGUGGGCUCAUUCUUACUUCUCUCAAAGCCAUUCUGAUGGAAAUAAGAGUCGAUUUUGCUGUACCAUGCCCGUGGAGCCUGCUUCAAUCCGUAAAGUGCCUUUCGCAGCUUGUAGACUUGGUCUUCUUUUCCACGAACAACAAAACCUUCAGGCUGAGAAACAUACACCUCUUCUUCUAACUCCCCAUUUAGGAACGCCGAUUUAACAUCAAAUUGGUAGAUGGGCCAAUUUAAUUGAGCAGCCAAGGCUAUUACAAUUCUCACCGUUUCAAACCGUGCAACUGGAGAGAAGGUGUCGUCAUAAUCUACACCUUGUUGUUGUGAAUAGCCUUUCACUACGAGUCGUGCCUUGUAUUUUUGAAUGCUGCCAUCUGCAUGAAACUUUGUUCUAAAGACCCAUUUAACUCCAAUGGCUUUCUUAUCUUGAGGAAGAUCUACCAAUUCCCAUGUUUCAUUCUUCUGGAUUGCUUCAAGCUCAUCUAACAUUGCAUUGCGCCAUGCUUCUUUUUCUGCUGCUUCUUCAAAUGUUGUUGGAUCAGCUACAAACAAGGCUUGUGUGCCUUCAUAAAUUUCAGCCAAUGAUCUGAAUUUUCUUGGAGGAGUUUCACCUUCAGAUGCACUACUGUUGCUGGAACUUGAAGAAGUAGUGCUUGGUGAGGUUGAUGAGAAUGGACUAGGAGUGUUUGGAGGGGUUGCUUGCUGUCUAAUGGUUGGUGAUCCUUCAUUUUCUGCUGGAAUCUUGAACUGAAUGUCAUCUGAUUUCUCCUGCCAACACCAGCUUGCCUCUUCAUCAAACACAACAUUCCUGCUAACAAUCACCUUGCCACUCACAGGAUUGUAAAGCCUAUAUGCUUUGGAUUGAGUACAA
rnacentral:misc_RNA from 1 species